AAUCAUAUAAAGAUAUAUAUCCUUUUUUAGUCAUGCUCAUAUCUUUCUCUUUUAAAAUUCUCAACAAGUUUUUUCUCAUAAUUUUCUAAUAAAUAUAUCAACCAAUUCUCUAUACCAUUAAUCAAUGGUAC
rnacentral:sRNA from 1 species